rnacentral:rRNA from 1 species
ACUCCUACGGGAGGCAGCAGUGAGGAAUAUUGCACAAUGGGCGCAAGCCUGAUGCAGCAACGCCGCGUGCGGGACGAAGGCCUUCGGGUCGUAAACCGCUUUUCUGAGGGACGAGACAGGACGGUACCUCAGGAAUAAGUCUCGGCUAACUACGUGCCAGCAGCCGCGGUAAUACGUAGGAGGCGAGCGUUAUCCGGAUUUACUGGGCG